rnacentral:misc_RNA from 1 species
GAUGAAGAACGCAGCGAAAUGCGAUAAGUAAUGUGAAUUGCAGAAUUCAGUGAAUCAUCGAAUCUUUGAACGCACAUUGCGCCCGCCAGUAUUCUGGCGGGCAUGCCUGUUCGAGCGUUAUUUCAACCCUCAAGACCCCUUCGGGGGACUUGGUGUUGGGGACCGGCACAGGGGCCUGCCUGCUUGUCUUGCAGCGCCCUCGCCGCCCCCGAAAUGAAUUGGCGGCCUCGUCGCGGCCUCCCCUGCGUAGUAGCACAAACCUCGCAACGGGAACGUGACGGCGGCCACUGCCGUAAAACAACCCAAUUUUAUUAGAGUUGACCUCGAAUCAGGUAGGAAUACCCGCUGAACUUAAGCAUAUCAAUAAGCGGAGGA